rnacentral:rRNA from 1 species
AUUGAACGCUGGCGGAAUGCUUUACACAUGCAAGUCGAACGGCAGCACGGACUUCGGUCUGGUGGCGAGUGGCGAACGGGUGAGUAAUGUAUCGGAACGUGCCCAGUCGUGGGGGAUAACGUAGUGAAAAUUACGCUAAUACCGCAUACGAUCUAUGGAUGAAAGCGGGGGAUCGCAAGACCUCGCGCGAUUGGAGCGGCCGAUAUCAGAUUAGGUAGUUGGUGGGGUAAAGGCCCACCAAGCAAACGAUCUGUAGCUGGUCUGAGAGGACGACCAGCCACACUGGAACUGUGACACGGUCCAGACUCCUACGGGAGGCAGCAGUGGGGAAUUUUGGACAAUGGGCGAAAGCCUGAUCCAGCCAUUCCGCGUGCAGGAUGAAGGCCCUCGGGUUGUAAACUGCUUUUGUACAGAACGAAAAGGUUUCUACUAAUACUAGGAGCUCAUGACGGUACUGUAAGAAUAAGCACCGGCUAACUACGUGCCAGCAGCCGCCGUAA